UACGGAAGGCAGCAGUGGGGAAUAUUGCACAAUGGGCGCAAGCCUGAUGCAGCCAUGCCGCGUGUAUGAAGAAGGCCUUCGGGUUGUAAAGUACUUUCAGCGGGGAGGAAGGCGAUGUGGUUAAUAACCGCGUCGAUUGACGUUACCCGCAGAAGAAGCACCGGCUAACUCCGUGCCAGCAGCCGCGGUAAUACGGAGGGUGCAAGCGUUAAUCGGAAUUACUGGGCGUAAAGCGCACGCAGGCGGUCUGUUAAGUCAGAUGUGAAAUCCCCGGGCUUAACCUGGGAACUGCAUUUUGAACUGGCAGGCUUGAGUCUCGUAGAGGGGGUAGAAUUCCAGGUGUAGCGGUGAAAUGCGUAGAGAUCUGGAGGAAUACCGGUGGCGAAGGCGGCCCCUGGGACGAAGACUGACGCUCAGGUGCGAAAGCGUGGGGAGCAAACAGGGAUUAGGAUACC
rnacentral:rRNA from 1 species